rnacentral:rRNA from 1 species
GAUGAACGCUGGCGGCGUGCCUAAUACAUGCAAGUCGAGCGAACAGACGAGGAGCUUGCUCCUCUGACGUUAGCGGCGGACGGGUGAGUAACACGUGGAUAACCUACCUAUAAGACUGGGAUAACUUCGGGAAACCGGAGCUACUACCGGAUAAUAUAUUGAACCGCAUGGUUCAAUAGUGAAAGACGGUUUUGCUGUCACUUAUAGAUGGAUCCGCGCCGCAUUAGCUAGUUGGUAAGGUAACGGCUUACCAAGGCGACGAUGCGUAGCCGACCUGAGAGGGUGAUCGGCCACACUGGAACUGAGACACGGUCCAGACUCCUACGGGAGGCAGCAGUAGGGAAUCUUCCGCAAUGGGCGAAAGCUUGACGGAGCAACGCCGCGUGAGUGAUGAAGGUCUUCGGAUCGUAAAACUCUGUUAUUAGGGAAGAACAAAUGUGUAAGUAACUAUGCACGUCUUGACGGUACCUAAUCAGAAAGCCACGGCUAACUACGUG